CUGCGAUAAGCGCCGGUAAGGUGAUAUGAACCGUUAUAACCGGCGAUACCCGAAUGGGGAAACCCAGUGUGAUUCGUCACACUAUCAUUAACUGAAUCCAUAGGUUAAUGAGGCGAACCGGGGGAACUGAAACAUCUAAGUACCCCGAGGAAAAGAAAUCAACCGAGAUUCCCCCAGUAGCGGCGAGCGAACGGGGAGGAGCCCAGAGCCUGAAUCAGCAUGUGUGUUAGUGGAAGCGUCUGGAAAGGCGCGCGAUACAGGGUGACAGCCCCGUACACAAAAGCGCAUGUGCUGUGAGCUCGAUGAGUAGGGCGGGACACGUGGUAUCCUGUCUGAAUAUGGGGGGACCAUCCUCCAAGGCUAAAUACUCCUGACUGACCGAUAGUGAACCAGUACCGUGAGGGAAAGGCGAAAAGAACCCCGGCGAGGGGAGUGAAAAAGAACCUGAAACCGUGUACGUACAAGCAGUGGGAGCCCCACCACCAAAGCAUUUGCUGUACCGCGUUGACGGAGCGAAGCGACGUCAAACCGAUAAAACAGCAGUGUAAAGUGAGCCGCAGGGCGCUUUGCGCGACAGCGCAAAGGCAGGCGGUUUCGCGUAGCGAAAGCGAAUGCUUUGGGGUGGGGUGACUGCGUACCUUUUGUAUAAUGGGUCAGCGACUUAUAUUCUGUAGCAAGGUUAACCGAAUAGGGGAGCCGGAGGGAAACCGAGUCUUAAUUGGGCGUUAAGUUGCAGGGUAUAGACCCGAAACCCGGUGAUCUAGCCAUGGGCAGGUUGAAGGUUGGGUAACACUAACUGGAGGACCGAACCGACUAAUGUUGAAAAAUUAGCGGAUGACCUGUGGCUGGGGGUGAAAGGCCAAUCAAACCGGGAGAUAGCUGGUUCUCCCCGAAAGCUAUUUAGGUAGCGCCUCGUGAAUUCAUCUCCGGGGGUAGAGCACUGUUUCGGCUAGGGGGCCAUCCCGGCUUACCAACCCGAUGCAAACUGCGAAUACCGGAGAAUGUUAUCACGGGAGACACACGGCGGGUGCUAACGUCCGUCGUGAAGAGGGAAACAACCCAGACCGCCAGCUAAGGUCCCAAAGUCAUGGUUAAGUGGGAAACGAUGUGGGAAGGCCCAGACAGCCAGGAUGUUGGCUUAGAAGCAGCCAUCAUUUAAAGAAAGCGUAAUAGCUCACUGGUCGAGUCGGCCUGCGCGGAAGAUGUAACGGGGCUAAACCAUGCACCGAAGCUGCGGCAGCGACACUGUGUGUUGUUGGGUAGGGGAGCGUUCUGUAAGCCUGUGAAGGUGUGUCGUGAGGCAUGCUGGAGGUAUCAGAAGUGCGAAUGCUGACAUAAGUAACGAUAAAGCGGGUGAAAAGCCCGCUCGCCGGAAGACCAAGGGUUCCUGUCCAACGUUAAUCGGGGCAGGGUGAGUCGACCCCUAAGGCGAGGCCGAAAGGCGUAGUCGAUGGGAAACGGGUUAAUAUUCCCGUACUUGGUGUUACUGCGAAGGGGGGACGGAGAAGGCUAUGUUGGCCGGGCGACGGUUGUCCCGGUUUAAGCGUGUAGGUGUGUGUUCCAGGUAAAUCCGGUUCACUUUAACACUGAGGCGUGACGACGAGGCACUACGGUGCUGAAGCAACAAAUGCCCUGCUUCCAGGAAAAGCCUCUAAGCAUCAGGUAACAUCAAAUCGUACCCCAAACCGACACAGGUGGUCAGGUAGAGAAUACCAAGGCGCUUGAGAGAACUCGGGUGAAGGAACUAGGCAAAAUGGUGCCGUAACUUCGGGAGAAGGCACGCUGACACGUAGGUGAAGUGAUUUACUCAUGGAGCUGAAGUCAGUCGAAGAUACCAGCUGGCUGCAACUGUUUAUUAAAAACACAGCACUGUGCAAACACGAAAGUGGACGUAUACGGUGUGACGCCUGCCCGGUGCCGGAAGGUUAAUUGAUGGGGUCAGCGCAAGCGAAGCUCCUGAUCGAAGCCCCGGUAAACGGCGGCCGUAACUAUAACGGUCCUAAGGUAGCGAAAUUCCUUGUCGGGUAAGUUCCGACCUGCACGAAUGGCGUAAUGAUGGCCAGGCUGUCUCCACCCGAGACUCAGUGAAAUUGAACUCGCUGUGAAGAUGCAGUGUACCCGCGGCAAGACGGAAAGACCCCGUGAACCUUUACUAUAGCUUGACACUGAACAUUGAGCCUUGAUGUGUAGGAUAGGUGGGAGGCUUUGAAGUGUGGACGCCAGUCUGCAUGGAGCCGACCUUGAAAUACCACCCUUUAAUGUUUGAUGUUCUAACGUGGACCCGUUACCCGGGUUGCGGACAGUGUCUGGUGGGUAGUUUGACUGGGGCGGUCUCCUCCUAAAGAGUAACGGAGGAGCACGAAGGUUGGCUAAUCCUGGUCGGACAUCAGGAGGUUAGUGCAAUGGCAUAAGCCAGCUUGACUGCGAGCGUGACGGCGCGAGCAGGUGCGAAAGCAGGUCAUAGUGAUCCGGUGGUUCUGAAUGGAAGGGCCAUCGCUCAACGGAUAAAAGGUACUCCGGGGAUAACAGGCUGAUACCGCCCAAGAGUUCAUAUCGACGGCGGUGUUUGGCACCUCGAUGUCGGCUCAUCACAUCCUGGGGCUGAAGUAGGUCCCAAGGGUAUGGCUGUUCGCCAUUUAAAGUGGUACGCGAGCUGGGUUUAGAACGUCGUGAGACAGUUCGGUCCCUAUCUGCCGUGGGCGCUGGAGAACUGAGGGGGGCUGCUCCUAGUACGAGAGGACCGGAGUGGACGCAUCACUGGUGUUCGGGUUGUCAUGCCAAUGGCACUGCCCGGUAGCUAAAUGCGGAAGAGAUAAGUGCUGAAAGCAUCUAAGCACGAAACUUGCCCCGA
rnacentral:rRNA from 1 species